rnacentral:rRNA from 1 species
AUGGAUUAUGUGUCCAAGAAAAUGUCCUCGUUGGAUGCAAAGCCUAUCCAAUUGCAUUUGCUAAAGACAAUCACAGAGGAUUUUUCAAAGAAGUUGAAAAUUGGUAGUGGUGGCUAUGGAGAAGUUUACAAGGGAGUGCUUAAUGGGCACGAAAUUGCUAUCAAGAAGCUUUUUCCCGUCCAUGGAGUUGAUGAUGAGGCAUUUGAUAAUGAAUUUCGCAACCUUAAGAAAGUUCAGCAUAAAAAUGUCAUACGGAUGAUUGGGUAUUGCUAUGAGAUAGCACAUAAAGAUGUUGAGUACCAAGGAAAAUUGGUUUGGUCUCAAGUAAUAGAUCGAGCUCUCUGCUUUGAAUAUAUGAAGGGAGGAAGCCUUGCCAAGCAUAUUUCUGCCGAGUCAUGCAUACAUAAUUGGCCGAUCACGUACAAAAUAAUUAAGGGGACAUGUGAGGGCCUCCACCACCUUCAUAAAGGAGGAGAAAAGAAGAUUUUUCAUCUAGACUUAAAGCCGGAUAAUGUAUUGCUGGAUGAAGAAUUGGUGCCUAAAAUAGGAGAUUUUGGUUUGUCCGAGCUCUUUGGGUCCUCGUAUACCCACCAACAAAGCAACACGAAAGGAACAAUUGGGUUCAUGCCACAAGAAUAUAUACACAAUCGCAAGGUGUCACCCAAGAAUGACGUGUUCAGUCUCGGAGUCAUAAUUUUCCACAUAAUGGCGGGAGAAAAGGGCUACAGCGAUUAUUGGGAUGCGCGCCGUCAUCCAAAGUUUUCCUCAAAAAUUCAACAUAAGUUUAUUGAGAGUGUACAAGAAUAUUGGAAGAAAAAGAUGGAGACAAUGGAAGGUUAUAGAUGGGACGAAACAGAUCUGCUAGGAGUAACGAGAUGUAUUGACAUGGCAAUGCGUUGUGUGGAGGACGACCGAGACAAAAGGCCUUAUAUAAAGGACAUUAUCAACGAGCUCAACAAACUAGAUUCUGAAGUCUCAGAGAUGUUAAAGAAAGAUCCGAAACCACCUAUUGGCCAGCUGGUAUAGUAUAUAACCUUCAUACUCACGUCCGUGCUCAUAUAUGUUGACCUCAUAUACGUAGCUGAACACACAUUCUAUCACUGAGAGUGAACCCCUUAAACUUUUGCCUUUGCAGAAAAGGAAAAACCGUGUCAAUGAUUUGGAAGCCGUGAAACAGAAUAAAAGCUUCAAAUAUUUGGGAAAAGAUAUUGUGGUUGAUCCAUCCCAGGAGCUUUGUUUCCCUUUCGAGUCAAAUAAG